AACAUUCAAUAGAAAACAACGUAAACCAAAGUAUCUGAUCUUGGAUUCGAAUAUCGAAUAUCGAAUAGAAAAGGAGAAAAAGAGUAAACAGAAAAUUCAAUUGCAACACUUAUUGACUUUCUUGUUAAUUGUUUUCGCUAUUUAAUUAAUUUACUCUCUUCAACGGCAAAUAGUUAAUUAUGUCCUCAACAACGAAGCCAACCAAUUAGAAGAGCUGAUUCGCCGUAAGAUCGAUCGAUCGGCCGCAAAUCGAGCUGCUGCUUUUGUUCAGCAAAGGAAACGUGCGAGAAUCGCUGGGCUCGUUUUGUCAAUGAUCUCUGUUGGAAUUUAUGGUUACACGAUUUACACUAUUAAACAAGAAAAGCUAUUUGAUGAUUUAGAGCCAACGGAUGUUUCAUCUUCUACUAAUAAAUUGUAAUUGUUUUUCUAGAUUUUUGAAUUUAAAUUAAAGAGAAAAGGUCGUUGUAAAUAAGAGAAAUAGAAAAAAAAAUAUUUAACAAGCAAAAUGUAAAUGGAUAAAGCGAAAUUAGAUGAUUUUAAUAAAGAAUGAUAAUGGUGACUUUUGAA